rnacentral:rRNA from 1 species
UUUUUUAAUUGAAAACUUGUAUGAAAGGUUGAACAAAAAAUUAGCUGUUUUAUUAAAAAUUAUAGAAUUUUAUUUUUUAGUUAAAAAGCUUAAAUAUUUUUAAAAGACGAGAAGACCCUUUAGAGUUUAAUUUAAUCAAAUUAUUUAUUUAAAAUAGAAAAUUUUUAAUAAAAUAUUUUGUUUUAUUUUGUUGGGGUGACAUUUAAAUUUAAUAAACUUUUUUUAUUAUUUACAUUAAUUUAUGAAUUAUUGAUCCAAUAUUAUUGAUUAAAAAUUUAAAUUACCUAAGGGAUAACAGCGUAAUAUUUUCUUAGAGAUCUUAUCAAUGAAAAUUUUUGC